rnacentral:rRNA from 1 species
GCAAGUCGAGGGGUAACAUUGGUGCUUGCACCAGAUGACGACCGGCGCACGGGUGCGUAACGCGUAUAGAACUUACCUUUUACAGAGGGAUAGCCUUUAGAAAUGAAGAUUAAUACCUCAUAGUAUUUUUAAAUCGCAUGAUUUAGAAAUUAAAGAUUUAUCGGUAAAAGAUGGCUAUGCGUCCUAUUAGCUAGAUGGUAAGGUAACGGCUUACCAUGGCGAUGAUAGGUAGGGGCCCUGAGAGGGGGAUC